GGUCCCAUCGUCUAACGGUUAGGACGACUCCCUUUCACGGAGUAAAUAGGGGUUCGAUUCCCCUUGGGACUACCA
rnacentral:tRNA from 1 species